rnacentral:rRNA from 1 species
CGGAGGGAGCUAGCGUUGUUCGGAAUUACUGGGCGUAAAGCGCACGUAGGCGGCUUUGUAAGUUAGAGGUGAAAGCCCGGGGCUCAACUCCGGAAUUGCCUUUAAGACUGCAUCGCUUGAAUCCGGGAGAGGUGAGUGGAAUUCCGAGUGUAGAGGUGAAAUUCGUAGAUAUUCGGAAGAACACCAGUGGCGAAGGCGGCUCACUGGACCGGCAUUGACGCUGAGGUGCGAAAGCGUGGGGAGCAAACAGGAUUAGGAUACCCUGGUAGUCCACGCCGUAAACGAUGAUAACUAGCUGUCGGGGGCCUUAGGCUUUCGGUGGCGCAGCUAACGCAUUAAGUUAUCCGCCUGGGGAGUACGGCCGCAAGGUUA